UAUCUGGAAUUCGCCUAGUGUCGGAACAUAUAGCUAAGUAUGAACUUAUGUAAAUACUUCAAUACUCAGUUGUUUCCAUUUACUUUUGGAGUAACCACCUCAUUAAACUGAGUCCACAAUGGGUGCUUGUUGCAGCUGUUGUGACGACGCUCCCGGGGGCGGAGUCAACGUGGUGGACCAUGCUCCUGGGGGAGGAGGCUACCCUGAACCCGUGAUGGUGGUGGACCAGCCAAUGGGAGGGGACAACGUAGGAAGAUGAUGUUCACACAAUUGAUGAUAUAAUUGUUAAUAUUAAAUUAUCUGUUAAAUUUUUU
rnacentral:lncRNA from 1 species